UACGGCCAUAUUACGCUUAAACACCGUUCUCGUCCGAUCACCGAAGUCAAGUAACAUCGAGCCUUGUCAGUACCUACAUGGGUGACUGUUUGGGAACACCAGGUGCUAUAA